UACGGAGGGAGCUAGCGUUGUUCGGAAUUACUGGGCGUAAAGCGCACGUAGGCGGCUUUGUAAGUUAGAGGUGAAAGCCCGGAGCUCAACUCCGGAAUUGCCUUUAAGACUGCAUCGCUUGAAUCCAGGAGAGGUGAGUGGAAUUCCGAGUGUAGCGGUGGAAUGCGUAGAGAUCGGGAAGAACAUCAGUGGCGAAGGCGGUCUGCUGGGCCGUUGCUGACGCUGAGGCGCGACAGCGUGGGGAGCAAACAGG
rnacentral:rRNA from 1 species